UUUACAUAAAGAAUUUACAUAAAGUUAGAUGGACAAAAGGAAUAACAAUGAAUGUACAAUUCUAAAUUAAGUUUUGAAACCGGUCAUUUGACUUGGCCUGGUAACAUUAGUAUUAAUAGUACAUAUCUUAUAUUU